rnacentral:tRNA from 1 species
GGAGAGGUGCCAGAGCGGCCGAACGGGCUGGUUUCGAAAACCAGUGAACUCGCAAGGGUUCCGGGGGUUCGAAUCCCCCCCUCUCCGCCA